rnacentral:lncRNA from 10 species
UGUUUUAAGCAAUCAAAGAACAAAAUUGAAAAUGCAAGCAACUGGAAAAUGGCAGUCCCUAGAAAUUCUCUGUUAAAAUACAGUAAACAUAUGACUAUAAAUUUUCAAUAUAAUUUAAAGCAUUCUCCUUGGUAGGUUAAAAAAAUUGUCUAGAUUCAAAAAGAGAGAAAUAUCAGUUUAACAUCUGUAGGAGUCUUAUUUUGGGAGUGCAUACUCAGCCCCCCAUCCUUUCUGUGGAAACUGCCUCUUGACAAAAGGGCAAGCCUAGACAGUCAUUUUUGUCAACCACUCCUACCAUGGUGUAUUGGACAAUUGAAGAUGUCUUCACCUAAGCUGAACCAAUGAGAAUCUUUAUCCUGAGAACCUUAAUCAGAAAGCCUUAAGUCUGUAGGUAGUGGUGGGCUCUAGAACUGGAAGGCCAACUAGAGUUGGAACUGAGGUUGGCACUACGGCUAACCAAAGUUUAACAAAAGCCAAAAUUAGCAGUGGCAGGCGCCUGUAAUCCCAACUACUUGGGAGGCUGAGGCAGGAGAAUCACUUGAACUCAGGGGGUUGGAGGUUGCAGUGAACCGAGAUCACGCCACCACACUCCACCCUGGGAAGCAAAGUAAGACUCCGUCUCAAAAAAAAAA